CUGUUGAGGCACUGUGGUGAUGCGGUACAAGCAGAGGAGUGGGAAUCAGCAGAUUCAAAGUUCCAAUUCCAGCUCUGCUACUGACUUAUUGUAUGAACAGCUUCACCUUUCUUUUUUCCCCCUAUCUGGAGAAUAACAAUCACUUACCGCUCUUACAGGAUGUCAGGUGGAUUGAUUAGUUAAGAAGCUAGAUCCUCAGUAGAACCUCAUGGAGCUGUGCUGAUUCACACCCAUUGGGGAUCUAGCCCAGUGUUUGUACAAUACUUUGAAAGUGUUUUCUACUGUAUAAGUGCUAAUGUACAAUAAAAAUUCAUCUAAUAACAAAUCCUUAAUUACCAAGUAGAUCUGAGCAACAAUUUAAAAACCAAGUGCAGAGUGUGUGUGUGAGUGAGAGAGAGAGUACUUAUAGGUGUGGAGGGAAAAAGGAGGGGGGAAUGCUAAGGGGGGGGAAUUUACAUUGGUGGACAAUCUAAAGAAAAUGGCAAGUAAAAUAACAAAAAGAUUGUACCCAGGGUGAAAAAUACAUUGUUGCCCAUUAAAGAAUUGCUGCUAGUGAACAGAUGAAAUUUUUUAAGUGUGCAAAAGCAGCACCAUUUCUUUCAUCUCUGUUUUUAUUCCACAUCACUUAGGUUCACACUGAACUUUUCUGCUGUAACAUUCAUUGAUCAACUGCUGCAUUGUUGAAGGCUCUCUCACAAUAGACUUCUGUUGACUCAUGUCAGAAGUGUGUUUAUUUAAUAUCUUAUUUGUUCUGCUUCUUUCCUCCUCUUCAGGUGUCAAUUUUGGAAGGACUGAAUACUGACUAAUGAAAGGAGCUAGAGAAACUCAUUGCUACUAAUUCACUGCAAUCAUAAUUAUCACCCUAACAGAUACUGGAAGCUGCACCAGCUGUCCCAUGCAGUAGAACUCUGGAUUAGCUUCUCUGCUGUCAAUGACUUUUAAACUCACAUUGAAGUUGGGGAAAACAUCUUUUCCAGAGAAAUUGAGGGAGGAUUUGUUGAGAAGACCUAAUAUUAUGGCUAAAUGGCUUGUGUACGCUACCGGCCGGAUUGACGGGCAGUGAUCAAUCCAGCAGGGGUUGAUCAAUCGACCGCAGAUCACUUUAGCGUCAACUCUGGUACUCCACCUCAAUGAGAAGCGCAAGAGGAAUCGACGGGAGAGCGUCUCCUGUUGACACACCACGGUAAGUAGAUCUAAGUACGUCGACUUCAGCUACGUUAUUCACGUAGUUGAAGUUGCAUAACUUAGAUCCAUUUCCCUCCCCCGGUAAUGUAGACUAGCCCUUAGUUUCCCAAAUUCCCCCUAAGUCUCUUUCCUCUCCCUCAGCCCUUCAUUUCUCCCUCUAUCCCCUCCCCCAUCCAUCCAUGCUUCCAGUUCUCCUCCU
rnacentral:lncRNA from 1 species